AAAUGGAGAACAUUCAAAAAAAUGUAAUUAGCACAAUGUUCAUAUGAAUUUUAUCCAACAUACUCUCCACAGUUUAGACGAGAAAAUAUAAGAAUUGAAAAGUGAUGAAUGUGCUUACAAUCUUAUCUAGCUACGCUCCUGAUCAAAAGGGUAUCGCCACCAAAACAAGUUCCAGAAGACAAAGACUUGAGCGUAGAAGGUUGGGGGAAUGUAUUGGCUAUCAUUUUUAUCGAUGCGGAGUAUGAACUUGGACCAAUGAACUUCAAUCUGGUCGCCGUCCUCGGACCAAACUAAAGCCAAUUUCAGUACAUCUCUCUGGACUUGCAUCAACAUUGAGUAAGACAAACGAGGCCAUUGAUUAACCAAGGGAAGGAUGAUGCCAUCGUUGUUGAGUCCCUAAACCAGUUCGGGGAGCCAUUCAAUCUUACGAAUAUCAUAAACACAUAAAGCCGUAUGAUAUUUGUAAGAGGCCAAAGCAUCCUUGGGAUUCAAAGUCUUGGGAGAGAAAGGUGCAAAGUCUAUCAGAAAACGAGUCUCCCACAAUCACAGCGGAGGUGGACCGCAUGCGCCGGUUUGCAAAGGGAUCCUUGUCAAUGGAAAAGCUAUGGAUCAUCUCCCAAGAGUGAGAUUCCAAAUCAAAGAAGCCCAAAUGACCCGAUCUUUCUUGUUCAAGCGCAAGAUUUAAAUACGGAGGAGAAUACAGGAGCAUCUUGGACCCAGUAGAAGCAACCAAGAACCUUGGCAGAACAGGAGCAAGGGGAAAGACUUCCGGGUUGCCCACACGGUGGCAGUUGAAGCAGAGCACCUGAUCUGUCACCGCAUAAAUCCAAUGGCCGUCAUCGGAAACCGCCGCCCCACUCACAUAGUUGAAAUCUGGAUUUUCGAAUCUCUCCCAAGAGUUGGGGCUUUGCAAGUUGAUGUAAAGAAUUUCAUUGUCCUCGAUUUUGCUAUCGUAUCGUCCUCUGCCUGUACGGCCACCGAUGAGGAAUAAACGGGACUCGGCCACGACGAAAUUGGCACUAUAGAUAUCAUAAUCUAUUUUGGGAAGAUUGAGAACUUUGACUCUAUCUUCAUCACUUUUACGGACCCAGAGUUCCUCUGGCAACUCAUCUGAUGCUGCUACUUCUUUAUGAUCAGCACCACCUCUCUCUUCGAUCACAAACAACUGAUGCACAUCUCCACCGACGAGAAAUUGGACCGGGGUGACUGCAUACACAUUGUUGUGAUUAUUAGAACAUGUGGUUGCUUCAUCCAGAGGAUAUACAAAACAAGACAGCUUAUCUAAUACGGCAAUACUCGAUACGGCAAUACUCGUAGUCCAAAUGAAUCUACGUAUACAGAAGUAUAGUGUGCAGAAUGUAUAUAUGGUG